GAUGAACGCUGGCGGCGUGCCUAAUACAUGCAAGUCGAGCGAACAGACGAGGAGCUUGCUUCUCUGAUGUUAGCGGCGGACGGGUGAGUAACACGUGGAUAACCUACCUAUAAGACUGGGAUAACUUCGGGAAACCGGAGCUAAUACCGGAUAAUAUAUUGAACCGCAUGGUUCAAUAGUGAAAGACGGUUUUGCUGUCACUUAUAGAUGGAUCCGCGCCGCAUUAGCUAGUUGGUAAGGUAACGGCUUACCAAGGCGACGAUGCGUAGCCGACCUGAGAGGGUGAUCGGCCACACUGGAACUGAGACACGGUCCAGACUCCUACGGGAGGCAGCAGUAGGGAAUCUUCCGCAAUGGGCGAAAGCCUGACGGAGCAACGCCGCGUGAGUGAUGAAGGUCUUCGGAUCGUAAAACUCUGUUAUUAGGGAAGAACAAAUGUGUAAGUAACUAUGCACAUCUUGACGGUACCUAAUCAGAAAGCCACGGCUAACUACGUG
rnacentral:rRNA from 1 species